AUUGAACGCUGGCGGCAGGCCUAACACAUGCAAGUCGAGCGGAUGAAGGGAGCUUGCUCCUGGAUUCAGCGGCGGACGGGUGAGUCAUGCCUAGGAAUCUGCCUGGUAGUGGGGGAUAACGUCCGGAAACGGGCGCUAAUACCGCAUACGUCCUGAGGGAGAAAGUGGGGGAUCUUCGGACCUCACGCUAUCAGAUGAGCCUAGGUCGGAUAGCUAGUUGGUGGGGUAAAGGCCUACCAAGGCGACGAUCCGUAACUGGUCUGAGAGGAUGAUCAGUCACACUGGAACUGAGACACGGUCCAGACUCCUACGGGAGGCAGCAGUGGGGAAUAUUGGACAAUGGGCGAAAGCCUGAUCCAGCCAUGCCGCGUGUGUGAAGAAGGUCUUCGGAUUGUAAAGCACUUUAAGUUGGGAGGAAGGGCAGUAAGUUAAUACCUUGCUGUUUUGACGUUACCAACAGAAUAAGCACCGGCUAACUUCGUG
rnacentral:rRNA from 1 species